rnacentral:rRNA from 1 species
CACGUAGGGAGCAAGCGUUGUCCGGAUUUAUUGGGCGUAAAGAGCUCGUAGGCGGUUCGAUAAGUCGGGUGUGAAACCUCCAGGCUCAACCUGGAGACGCCACCCGAUACUGUCAUGACUAGAGUCCGGUAGGGGAGCGUGGAAUUCCUGGUGUAGCGGUGAGAUGCGCAGAUAUCAGGAGGAACACCAGCGGCGAAGGCGGCGCUCUGGGCCGGUACUGACGCUGAGGUGCGAAAGCGUGGGGAGCAAACAGG